GCCCGCUCAAGAAACUUAAAUGAAGUGACGGGGACCCGCACAAGCGGUGGAUGAUGUGGAUUAAUUCGAUGCAACGCGAAAACCUUACCUACCCUUGACAUGUCCGGAAUCCCGAAGAGAUUUGGGAGUGCUCGCAAGAGAACCGGAACACAGGUGCUGCAUGGCUGUCGUCAGCUCGUGUCGUGAGAUGUUGGGUUAAGUCCCGCAACGAGCGCAACCCUUGUCAUUAGUUGCCAUCAUUCAGUUGGGCACUCUAAUGAGACUGCCGGUGACAAACCGGAGGAAGGUGGGGAUGACGUCAAGUCCUCAUGGCCCUUAUGGGUAGGGCUUCACACGUCAUACAAUGGUCGGUACAGAGGGUCGCCAACCCGCGAGGGGGAGCCAAUCCCACAAAGCCGAUCGUAGUCCGGAUUGGAGUCUGCAACUCGACUCCAUGAAGUCGGAAUCGCUAGUAAUCGUGGAUCAGCAUGUCACGGUGAAUACGUUCCCGGGUCUU
rnacentral:rRNA from 1 species